rnacentral:lncRNA from 1 species
GCAGAAUAGUGUGGACCUUCCGGUCAGGCCAGGCCUCCCUUCCUGCCGUUCAAAUCCCAGUCCCAGCCUCUUGCGGCUUCUGGCUUCUCCUGCUGCCUCUCCCGGCCCUUGAACCCCGAGGACAGAACAGCAGGAGGCGUCCGCACAGCCCCGUCCCCGGCAGAGAAAGACGGCACAGAGCAUGAUUUCCUGGAGCCCAGUCAAGGAGCAGUUCCCCAGUGCCAGGAAACCCAGGGACGGAAACUGUGGCUGCGGGACCCAUCCACGGGACGUGCUGUCGGGAAUAAGCCCAGAGAGAGGAGGAGUGCGGCCGAACAGAAGGGCCAGACCUGCCCCGGGGGCGCCGACCAGGAGUGUUUACCGUGACAAGCUCUGUGCCGAUCCCGGGGACACAUUAGUGAAAGAAAACAGGCCUGCUGUGUGCUCACUAAUCGCAGAACGAUGUGUGCCUGCUGAGGCAGCCUCCCUUGGGAACCUUGGUGACGGAAGGGGAAGGCCCAGAGGAGAGUAUGACCAAAAGGCCAUGUGGUGAGGAGAGAGGAGGAAAGUUACUCCUUCGUUCAUUCAGAUAAUACUGAACAUCUAUGUGACUGAAAUGCCGGAGAUCCAGCAAAGCGAUACCCAGGCUCUUGGCCUUGGAGACUCAGUAGGUGAGUCAGAUAUUUUUCAAGUAUUACACAGAAAGUAUAAAUCGCAUCCGUGGGCAGUUCUCUGAAGGAGAAAUACAAGACACUAAGAGAGAUUCUGAGAGGGCUGUGGCAUGGUCAAGGGGAUCAUCAAGGUGGCUUCCCUGAGGAAGGAAUGCUUUAACUGAGAUCUCAGACAGGAGAAGGAAUUCGCAAAGUGAGUGUGAGUGUGGAAGGGGAGGAGCAGGAAAUGUUUCAGAGAGUCAAAAACACAUGCAAAGUCCCUGUGGCAGGAGACAUCUUGGUGCUCUCUGGAGACAGAGAGCAAAGGGUCGGGUGAGGUCCUGAAGUUAGAGCAUAGGAAGCCAAUGAAAUAUCUCAAGCAAAGGAGGGGACGUGAUUCUAUUUAAGUUUGGAAAAAGAUUCCCCUGACUCCUGUGUAGGAGGAUUUGCUUCCUCUUAACCAUUGAGAGCAGGCUUGGCAAGAAGGGACUGGGAACUAAUGGGCAAGUCAAUUUCUUUGGCCAGGCUUCAGUUUCCCCCUCUCCCUAGUGAGUUUGGCUUCAGCGGUUG